UACAGAGGGUGCAAGCGUUAAUCGGAAUUACUGGGCGUAAAGCGCGCGUAGGUGGUUUGUUAAGUUGGAUGUGAAAUCCCCGGGCUCAACCCGGGAACUGCUUCUGAUACUGGCGGACUUGAGGCCAGUAGGGGUCACUAGAACUGACGGUGGAGCGGUGAAAUGCGUAGAGAUCGGAAAGAACACCAACGGCGAAAGCACUCUGCUGGGCCGACACUGACACUGAGAGACGAAAGCUAGGGGAGCGAAUGGG
rnacentral:rRNA from 1 species